rnacentral:tRNA from 1 species
AGCAGCAUAGUCUAAUGGAAAGAUCUCAGGCCUGGGAAUCAGGGGACCUGGGUUCUAGUCCCAGUUCUGCCA